rnacentral:tRNA from 1 species
GUCCCUGUAGCGCAAUGAAUAGCUCGUUGGACUUCUAAUCCAAAUGUCGUGGCUUCGAAUCCAACCUGGGAUG